GCUUCUUGAUCCCUGCUGCCUCAGCAUGGCAGGAAGUCCAGCUGGAAGCAUCCGCCAGCCUCGGGAAUGGCCUCUGCCUCUAACUGCCUCCUCACAGACACGGCCAGGAAAAAGUCCAGCAGGAAUGGUGCAGCAUCAUGGGAGCCCUCCUGUGUGCCUGUCGCUACAAGGUGGCAUGUGCUGAUUUCAAGAAACGGACUUAGUGGAUGUUGCUCCAGACGGACUUACCCUGCCUGCCCCUCAGACUGGCUGCUCUGAACGUGGUGGCUCCACAAGACUUUUCCAAGGUGUUCCGUGUGUGCUGCUGCAAAGCUGUGGCCGCUCCAAAAUACCAUCGCCCAUUGUGUUUGCUCUCUGUGUCCCAGCCCUACUUCCCUUUCCCUCCCUCUUACUUCCCUGGACCGCACUCCCUGAUGGAGUAUUCCCACCAGCACUGCCUUCCUAAGAAACCAGCGGCGAAGGUCUA
rnacentral:lncRNA from 10 species